AUCUGGAUGGCGAUUCGCUGUUGCUAGACAUUUGACCGUUUAUAUGUCUAUAUAAGGGGUGUGAUGGGCCAGGCGAAGUGCUUAAGACUUCAAGGGAAGCAGGAUCCGUUCCUAACAACAGCUAGAAGGGCCAUCCUGUAAAAACAAACGAAAAAGAAAAUUAAAGGUUCCUAAAAGAUUCUUGUAUGGUUCGUUAAAGGAACAUCCACAGAAGCUUUCUGUUUCACAAAAUGUUUUUUUGGUAGUGAAAAGGGUUCUUUAUUAAAAGGAAUGAGUGGGAUGGUGAAAAGUUGUUGUUUCAAAUCCUGGAACAUUCUUUAAACUAAAGGUGCCAAAAAUGGGUUCUUUAGAGCAAAGCCAUACACUCCAAAAAAUAGAGAAAGGUUCUGUUAAAGGCUCUUUAUGGAACCAUACAGCCCGACAAAGAACCUUCACACAGAUUUUUAAGAGUAAAGAUGAUCUCAAAUGUUUAUUUGAGCAAGACACUUAACCUCAGAUUACUCAUGGGCACUGGACCUGAUAUCGGUGAAGUCAUUCGGGAUAUAAGCAGUCACAAGUUACCAACGUUAACAUUUUGAACAACCAUCAACCUCACAUCACGAGCCAGAAAAUCUCCAUGAGAUUAUUUGUAUACUCCUGCAUACUCCUGCAAGUCAAAGUUUGAUUUCUUUGGUUGUAACCCCCCAACUACUCCCUAUAUUGUCCUUCAGUGUGUCCUAUUCCUGUGUGUCCUAUUCCUCCACACAUGCUCCUCAAUGUAUUUUUAGUGCUGUCUUAACACCCGAGCACCUGCCCCAGUCUGUACAUUUCACAUUUCAAGACACAUAGCCAAGUGGUUCAACAUUACGUGCUAAUUUACCAAAAUAAACCUGGUCUUAAAUAAUACUCAGUAGUCCUGCAGGAUUCAUAUACUAAAGUAUUUUUUGGUUAAACGACUUUGCUUGCCCAAAUAAAAUAUUGUUUUGACAGACCCAAUCGAUUUUAACAUUGCAUAAUGAAAGAAAGCAGAAACAGAGCUUUUUCCUCCCUUGAGAUGGUUUGUGGGUAAAUUUGUGUGGGUCAACAUCAUGUCUAUGCUGUU